ACGAACGCUGGCGGCGUGGAUAAGACAUGCAAGUCGAACGGGAGAAUUGCUAGCUUGCUAAUAAUUCUCUAGUGGCGCACGGGUGAGUAACACGUGAGUAACCUGCCUCUUAGUGGGGGAUAGCCCUGGGAAACCGGGAUUAAUACCGCAUACGAUUGAAAGAUCAAAGCAGCAAUGCGCUAGGAGAUGGGCUCGCGGCCUAUUAGUUAGUUGGUGAGGUAACGGCUCACCAAGGCGAUGACGGGUAGCCGGUCUGAGAGGAUGUCCGGCCACACUGGAACUGAGACACGGUCCAGACACCUACGGGUGGCAGCAGUCGAGAAUCAUUCACAAUGGGGGCAACCCUGAUGGUGCGACGCCGCGUGGGGGAAUGAAGGUCUUCGGAUUGUAAACCCCUGUCAUGUGGGAGCAAAUUAAAAAGAUAGUACCACAAGAGGAAGAGACGGCUAACUCUGUGCCAGCAGCCGCGGUAAUACAGAGGUCUCAAGCGUUGUUCGGAAUCACUGGGCGUAAAGCGUGCGUAGGCUGUUUCGUAAGUCGUGUGUGAAAGGCAGGGGCUCAACCCCUGGAUUGCACAUGAUACUGCGAGACUAGAGUAAUGGAGGGGGAACCGGAAUUCUCGGUGUAGCAGUGAAAUGCGUAGAUAUCGAGAGGAACACUCGUGGCGAAGGCGGGUUCCUGGACAUUAACUGACGCUGAGGCACGAAGGCCAGGGGAGCGAAAGGGAUUAGAUACCCCUGUAGUCCUGGCAGUAAACGGUGCACGCUUGGUGUGCGGGGAAUCGACCCCCUGCGUGCCGGAGCUAACGCGUUAAGCGUGCCGCCUGGGGAGUACGGUCGCAAGAUUAAAACUCAAAGAAAUUGACGGGGACCCGCACAAGCGGUGGAGUAUGUGGCUUAAUUCGAUGCAACGCGAAGAACCUUACCUGGGCUUGACAUGUAAUGAACAACAUGUGAAAGCAUGCGACUCUUCGGAGGCGUUACACAGGUGCUGCAUGGCCGUCGUCAGCUCGUGUCGUGAGAUGUUUGGUUAAGUGCAGCAACGAGCGCAACCCCUGUUGCCAGUUACCAGCACGUCAAGGUGGGGACUCUGGCGAGACUGCCCAGAUCAACUGGGAGGAAGGUGGGGACGACGUCAGGUCAGUAUGGCCCUUAUGCCCAGGGCUGCACACGUACUACAAUGCCCAGUACAGAGGGGGCCGAAGCCGCGAGGCGGAGGAAAUCCUGAAAACUGGGCCCAGUUCGGACUGUAGGCUGCAACCCGCCUACACGAAGCCGGAAUCGCUAGUAAUGGCGCAUCAGCUACGGCGCCGUGAAUACGUUCCCGGGUCUUGUACACACCGCCCGUCACAUCAUGGAAGCCGGUCGCACCCGAAGUAUCUGAAGCCAACCGCAAGGAGGCAGGGUCCUAAGGUGAGACUGGUAACUGGGAUG
rnacentral:rRNA from 1 species